rnacentral:lncRNA from 1 species
AUCUACCAUGUGUCAGGCACUGCGCUAAGCCAUGGAAACACAUUCUGGUCAGGAAUGCCAGCACCAAUGUUUGUGUGUUAGAUGGUAAAGAAGAGCUAGUACUCAUGGAGCUAACCAGUAGGAGCUGCCACCACCAGAUGUCACUAACUCCACCCCUCACCAAUAAUCCUCUAAUGUGUGGAUGGAAACCAUUAACAGCACUGCCUUGGACACUAGUAAAAUUCCUGUAGAGUGUUUUAUAAAGUUCGAAAGUGCUGGGUUCCAAUGCCAUUUUAAGGUUUACAAUCCCUGGAAGGGCUCAGAUGAAAAUGAGGCAGCAACCACAUGGUUCCA